rnacentral:rRNA from 1 species
UACAGAGGGUGCGAGCGUUGUUCGGAAUUACUGGGCGUAAAGCGCGCGCAGGCGGCCUUUUAAGUCUGACGGUGAAAUGCCGGGGCUCAACCCCGUGCCCGCCGGAGAUACUGGGAGGCUGGAGACGAGUAGAGGCAAGCGGAAUUCCGGGUGUAGCGGUGGAAUGCGUAGAGAUCCGGAAGAACACCUGCGGUGUAGACGGCUUACUGGACCAUAACUGACGCUGAGGCACGAAAGCGUGGGUAGCAAACAGG